rfam:Trichuris trichiura, WGS project CBXK01000000 data, contig: TTRE_56
ACCCCUGUGGCGCAGAGGACAGCGCAUUGGGCUUCUAACCCAAAGGUCGUGGGUUCGACCCCCACCAGGGGUG